rnacentral:rRNA from 1 species
UACAGAGGGUGCAAGCGUUGUUCGGAAUUAUUGGGCGUAAAGGGCGCGUAGGCGGUGCUGUAAGUCUGUGGUGAAAUCUCUGGGCUCAACUCAGAGUCUGCCAUAGAAACUGCAGUGCUGGAGUGUGGGAGAGGUGAGUGGAAUUCCCGGUGUAGCGGUGAAAUGCGUAGAUAUCUGGAGGAACACCGGUGGCGAAGGCGGCAUCCUGGACCGACACUGACGCUGAGGAGCGAAAGCCAGGGGAGCAAACGGG